GAUGAACGCUGGCGGCGCGCCUAACACAUGCAAGUCGAACGAUUAAAGCACCUUCGGGUGUGUAUAAAGUGGCGAACGGCUGAGUAACACGUGGGCAACCUGCCCCUUUCAUUGGGAUAGCCACGGGAAACCGUGGAUAAUACCGAAUACUUCGAGACUUCCGCAUGGAAGACUCGAGAAAGCUCCGGCGGAGAGGGAUGGGCCCGCGGCCUGUUAGCUUGUUGGUGGGGUAACGGCCUACCAAGGCAAUGAUGGGUAGCUGGGUUGAGAGACCGACCAGCUAGAUUGGGACUGAGACACGGCCCAGACUCCUACGGGAGGCAGCAGUGGGGAAUCUUGCACAAUGGGCGAAAGCCUGAUGCAGCGACGCCGCGUGCGGGAUGAAGGCCUUCGGGUUGUAAACCGCUUUCAGCAGGGACGAGGCGAAAGUGACGGUACCUGCAGAAGAAGCCCCGGCUAACUACGUG
rnacentral:rRNA from 1 species